rnacentral:rRNA from 1 species
ACGGGGUGCAGCAGGCGCGAAACCUCCGCAAUNCGGGAAACCGCGACGGGGUUAGCCGGAGUGCCCGUGCAUUGCACGGGCUGUCGGGGUGCCUAAACAGCACCCCAUAGCAAGGGCCGGGCAAGGCCGGUGGCAGCCGCCGCGGUAAGACCGGCGGCCCGAGUGGCGGCCACUCUUAUUGGGCCUAAAGCGUCCGUAGCCGGCCCAGUAAGUCCCCCGGGAAAUCUGGUCGCUUAACGAUCAGACUUCCGGGGGAUACUGCUGGGCUAGGGACCGGGAGAGGCCGAGGGUAUUCCCGGGGUAGGGGUGAAAUCCUGUAAUCCCGGGAGGACCACCUGUGGCGAAGGCGCUCGGCUGGAACGGGUCCGACGGUGAGGGACGAAGGCCUGGGGAGCGAACCGGAUUAGAUACCCGGGUAGUCCAGGCUGUAAACGAUGCGGG